rnacentral:rRNA from 1 species
GACGAACGCUGGCGGCGCGCUUAACACAUGCAAGUCGAGCGAAGCGGCGGACGGGUGAGUAACACGUGAGUAACCUGCCUUAGACAUUGGGAUAGCCUCGGGAAACCGGGAUUAAUACCAAAUGGUCUAAGAUGGACUCGCGUCCCAUUAGCUAGUUGGUGGGUAACGGCCCACCAAGGCGACGAUGGGUAGCCGGCCUGUGAGUGUUAGCGGCAACAUGGAAACUGAAAAACGAUCCAAACUCUACGGGAGGCAGCAGUGGGGAAUAUUGCACAAUGGAGGGAACUCUGAUGCAGCGACGCCGGGUGAACUAAGAAGGCUUUCAAGGCGUAAAGGUCUUUUAUAUGGAAAGCGGGACCAUAAGAAAAAGCCCCGGCUAACUACGUGCCAGCAGCCGCGGUAAUUC